rnacentral:rRNA from 1 species
AAAGUGGCAGACGGGUGAGUAACACGUGAAUAAUCUACCUUUGAGUGGGGAAUAACCCCGCGAAAGCGGGGCUAAUACCGCAUAAUAUCCCUGGGUCGUAUGAACUGGGGAUCAAGGGCUUCGGUCGCUCAAAGAGGAGUUCGCGCCUGAUUAGCUAGUUGGUGAGGUAACGGCCCACCAAGGCAACGAUCAGUAGCCGGCCUGAGAGGGCGUACGGCCACACUGGAACUGAGACACGGUCCAGACUCCUACGGGAGGCAGCAGUGGGGAAUUUUGCGCAAUGGGCGAAAGCCUGACCAGCAACGCCGCGUGGAGGAUGAAGGCCUUCGGGUCGUAAACUCCUGUCAGGGGGGACGAAAGUUGGGAAACCAACCUGACUGUACCCCCUGAGGAAGCCACGGCUAACUCCGUGCCAGCAGCCGCGGUAAUACGGAGGUGGCAAGCGUUGUUCGGAAUUAUUGGGCGUAAAGGGCGCGUAGGCGGCAUUGCAAGUCAGAUGUGAAAUCCCCGGGCUUAACCCGGGAAUUGCAUCUGAAACUGCUUUGCUCGAGUCCUGGAGGGGGUAGUGGAAUUCCCAGUGUAGCGGUGAAAUGCGUAGAUAUUGGGAGGAACACCUGCGGCGAAGGCGGCUACCUGGACAGUGACUGACGCUGAGGCGCGAAAGCUAGGGGAGCAAACGGGAUUAGAUACCCCGGUAGUCCUAGCUGUAAACGAUGGGCACUUGGUGUUGGGGGUAUUGAGUCCCUCGGUGCCGGAGUUAACACGUUAAGUGCCCCGCCUGGGGAGUACGGUCGCAAGACUGAAACUCAAAGGAAUUGACGGGGGCCCGCACAAGCGGUGGAGCAUGUGGUUCAAUUCGACGCAACGCGAAGAACCUUACCGGGGCUCGAACGGUAACUGCAAUUCUUGGAAACAGGAAGUUCUCUUCGGAGACGGUUAUCGAGGUGCUGCAUGGCUGUCGUCAGCUCGUGUCGUGAGAUGUUGGGUUAAGUCCCGCAACGAGCGCAACCCUUACCCUUAGUUGCUACCAGGUAAUGCUGAGCACCCUAAGGGAACUGUCGGCGAAAAGCCGGAGGAAGGUGGGGAUGACGUCAAGUCCUCAUGGCCCUUACGUCCCGGGCUACACACGUGCUACAAUGGUCGGUACAAAGGGUCGCCAACCCGCGAGGGGGAGCUAAUCCCAAAAAGCCGAUCUCAGUUCGGAUUGCAGUCUGCAACUCGACUGCAUGAAGGCGGAAUCGCUAGUAAUCGCAGAUCAGCACGCUGCGGUGAAUACGUUCCCGGGCCUUGUACACACCGCCCGUCACAUCACGAAAGUGGGUUGUACUAGAAAUCGCUAAGCCAACCCGUAAGGGGAGCAGGCGCUUAAGGUAUGAUCCAUGAUUGGGGUGAAGUCGUAACAAGGUA